CGCACUUUCUAUUAUUUUGAUAACUAUCCUUCUCGUAAUUACAGUUGGAAGUUUACAGCUAUCUCGGUUCUCAUCCUUGCUGUACGGAAAAUUCAUCGAAAUCGAUAAAUUGUGUUCUGCUGAUCUACCGUUAGAAACUAAAAUGAAGAUGCUAAACUUUAUGAAAAGAUAUGGCAAGACUCCAUUUGGAAUAAACAUCGGCGGAUUCUUUUAUGUUAAAAAGGACUUUUUCAUUCGAGUUCUGAGCGCCAUAUAUUCAUUGAUGUCUGUCUUGGUAGAACUUGUAGCAGUAAAAAAACCAACUUGUGAAAUUAAGAUAGAAAAUAUGUUAUAAAACUGUAUAGCAUUAAAACGAGCGUAACAAAUAUUUGAACUCGGUGAUCUAUAUUACUGAUAGAUACAGAAAAUUAUUCGCGAUCUACUAUAGUUUAGAACAGUUAAUAAAGAAUUAGACAAUAGAACAAGAGAAAUAAUUAGACAACUAGACAAAAAAUAUUCCUAAAAAAUAGAAAUUAAAAAUUAAUUUAUUGAAAUUGCACUCUGUAUCAUUGUAUAACUUUAAAAAAAUACAACAAAGCGUUGCAUAAGUAUUCCGGAUAAAACUGAAAAGUUUAUGUGGCGCCAUCUGUUAUGAUAAUUUAUUAAAAAAAACAUUUAUAUAAUUAUUUAUUAUAAAAUGGCGAAAAACUUAAUUUUCAGGGAAGAG